UCUAAACAUGACUUUCUGCUAUAACAUACACAUUUGCCUUUGCUUCUUACUUUUUGCUUAUUUCCAUGGUACAAAGUGCAACUCUCAGGUCUUCCAGACCCCACUAAUGAUUGCUGAAGAAGGACAGGAUACCACAUUUAGAUGUAACCACUCUAUUACAACCUACAAUCUCCUGGUUUGGUACAAACAGCUCCCAGGAUCUUCCCUUGAGAUAUGUGCUUCAGGAAUCUUGCAAGACAUCAUCAAUGGCCGUUUUAAUAUGAGAAUACACAAAGAGAGCUUGUCAACAGAACUUUCUAUCAGCAAAGUACGGGUGGAAGAGUCAGCCCUGUAUUACUGUGCUGUGAGUGACACAAUGGCAGAAACACAGAGCACAGCUGUGCCAAAAGCCCCCCCUUAACAGAUCAUAGUAUUUACAGCACAAACAAUGAGCAAUAAAGAUGAUCAAAUAAAGAUGAUCAUGUAUAACAAAAAAAAAACAUUCAUACUAAUCAGUACUAAUCAGUACCAUAACUUUGCAAUGUACAA